GAUGAACGCUGGCGGCGUGCCUAAUACAUGCAAGUCGAGCGAACGGACGAGAAGCUUGCUUCUCUGAUGUUAGCGGCGGACGGGUGAGUAACACGUGGAUAACCUACCUAUAAGACGGGGAUAACUUCGGGAAACCGGAGCUAAUACCGGAUAAUAUUUUGAACCGCAUGGUUCAAAAGUGAAAGACGGUCUUGCUGUCACUUAUAGAUGGAUCCGCGCUGCAUUAGCUAGUUGGUAAGGUAACGGCUUACCAAGGCAACGAUGCAUAGCCGACCUGAGAGGGUGAUCGGCCACACUGGAACUGAGACACGGUCCAGACUCCUACGGGAGGCAGCAGUAGGGAAUCUUCCGCAAUGGGCGAAAGCCUGACGGAGCAACGCCGCGUGAGUGAUGAAGGUCUUCGGAUCGUAAAACUCUGUUAUUAGGGAAGAACAUAUGUGUAAGUAACUGUGCACAUCUUGGCGGUACCUAAUCAGAAAGCCACGGCUAACUACGUGCCAGCAGCCGCGGUAAUACGUAGGUGGCAAGCGUUAUCCGGAAUUAUUGGGCGUAAAGCGCGCGUAGGCGGUUUUUUAAGUCUGAUGUGAAAGCCCACGGCUCAACCGUGGAGGGUCAUUGGAAACUGGAAAACUUGAGUGCAGAAGAGGAAAGUGGAAUUCCAUGUGUAGCGGUGAAAUGCGCAGAGAUAUGGAGGAACACCAGUGGCGAAGGCGACUUUCUGGUCUGUAACUGACGCUGAUGUGCGAAAGCGUGGGGAUCAAACAGGAUUAGAUACCCUGGUAGUCCACGCCGUAAACGAUGAGUGCUAAGUGUUAGGGGGUUUCCGCCCCUUAGUGCUGCAGCUAACGCAUUAAGCACUCCGCCUGGGGAGUACGACCGCAAGGUUGAAACUCAAAGGAAUUGACGGGGACCCGCACAAGCGGUGGAGCAUGUGGUUUAAUUCGAAGCAACGCGAAGAACCUUACCAAAUCUUGACAUCCUUUGACAACUCUAGAGAUAGAGCCUUCCCCUUCGGGGGACAAAGUGACAGGUGGUGCAUGGUUGUCGUCAGCUCGUGUCGUGAGAUGUUGGGUUAAGUCCCGCAACGAGCGCAACCCUUAAGCUUAGUUGCCAUCAUUAAGUUGGGCACUCUAAGUUGACUGCCGGUGACAAACCGGAGGAAGGUGGGGAUGACGUCAAAUCAUCAUGCCCCUUAUGAUUUGGGCUACACACGUGCUACAAUGGACAAUACAAAGGGCAGCGAAACCGCGAGGUCAAGCAAAUCCCAUAAAGUUGUUCUCAGUUCGGAUUGUAGUCUGCAACUCGACUACAUGAAGCUGGAAUCGCUAGUAAUCGUAGAUCAGCAUGCUACGGUGAAUACGUUCCCGGGUCU
rnacentral:rRNA from 1 species